rnacentral:rRNA from 1 species
GAGUGGCGGACGGGUGAGUAACGCGUGGAUAACCUACCUCAUACAGGGGGAUAACAACCAGAAAUGGUUGCUAAUACCGCAUAAGCGCACAGGACCGCAUGGUCUGGUGUGAAAAAACUCCGGUGGUAUGAGAUGGAUCCGCGUCUGAUUAGCUAGUUGGUAAGGUAAGAGCUUACCAAGGCGACGAUCAGUAGCCGACCUGAGAGGGUGACCGGCCACAUUGGGACUGAGACACGGCCCAA